rnacentral:rRNA from 1 species
UACGUAGGGGGCAAGCGUUGUCCGGAUUUAUUGGGCGUAAAGAGCGUGUAGGCGGCCUAGUAGGUCAGCUGUGAAAACUCGAGGCUCAACCUCGAGCUGUCGGUUGAAACCACUAGGCUAGAGUCCGGAAGAGGAGAAUGGAAUUCCCGGUGUAGCGGUGAAAUGCGCAGAUAUCGGGAAGAACACCCGUGGCGAAGGCGGUUCUCUGGGACGGUACUGACGCUGAGGCGCGAAAGCGUGGGGAGCGAACAGG